CAACCAGCAGUCAAUUUUAACUAGGGCUUACUCAGACUAAAAUAAAUCUUAUAAUAUAUAUGUGUAUUUUUUCAGAAUCAACAUUAUAUGACCUGUAACACUUUGAAAUGACAAAAUCUUAGAAAUAAAAACAAUGCCAUAUCUGACCGACAAGAGUAAAUCAGUUUCAUGCAUGACAAGUUGAUAAGCUAUGAUAUAGGUACCUGUACGUGUUAUAUACUUGUCAUACAUGCUUGUACAUGCUAUGCAGUCAACUCUCAGUUAACCAGCAUCCAUAGAGAUUGGUAGAUGUCAGAUGGUUUCUUCUGAGUUACUAAUAAAAUGAGACCUAAUACUAUGCUACACCAUGAACUCUGUACUAACUUCAUAUUAAUAUUUCAAUACAUAAUUAAAAGCAAAUUAAGACAAAAACAACUUCAUGUAACAGAUUUAUUAUAAAAACAAUUUUAAUUAAAACAGGAUUCAAUAAACUUUUCAAUUUAAUGAACUUUACUAACACAGCUUUUUCAACUCAAUGUCACUUCAAAAAAAUCCCCACAAUUCCAGGGAUGGACCAGCUUAGACACCCAACCAGAGAAAGGCUGAGAAUUACCAUCAAGGUGAGCCAUUGGGAGCAAUACCCAGGCUGUUGGCAGUGAGGAAUAAAAAUUUAACAAUGGUAGUAUAAUUACACUGUCUUGUCAAGUUGGAGAGAGAGGAAACAAAGAAGCUGAGUAAGCUUUGGGCAUGUGCUAAUAAGAAUGGCUUUGGUUUUAUUGUCAUUAAGUUGAGGUUUGUUAUAAUUCAGUUUCUGAUGUCCUUGUAGGAGGUGGAUGUUUGAAUCAACAGCAUCUGUAUGUUGCCAGGUGUGUCACUGUCUGAAGAUGAGAAUCAAAUAGGUAGAGCUGGUGCUUGAGGUGAUGGAAAGAAAAUGAUAGCUGACAAAAUAACAAAAAACAAAAGAAAAAAGAGGCGUAAAGAGUGAAAAGAAAUGGCCAAGUGGACCCUUGAACACUGAAGGGUCAAACUGAAAGUCACUGAUGAGAACAGUCUGUAAAGAACCAAAAGAGAAUCUUGUCAUUGAUAAUGACGGAGUCUGUAAAGGGUGGAAUGGUCAAUGUUAUCAAAAAACAGUUGAACCAUCCAGGAGAGUGAGUAGGGCGAUUAAAGUAGCUGGACAGAUUCUGACGAAGCCCUAACAUCAGGUUUACUACAAAGUACAAUCUAUUACAAAUCCUUUGUAAAGGUUUGAAUUAAAAAAAAAAAAAAAAAAA